rnacentral:rRNA from 1 species
CAUAGCGACUAUCGUGGCAUAUCAAUAAGCGGAGGAAAAGAAACUAACAAGGAUUCCCCUAGUAACGGCGAGUGAAGCGGGAAGAGCUCAAAUUUGAAAUCUUAAAGGGUUCUACCUUGACGAAUUGUAGUUUAUAGAAGUGUUUUCUGUUAGGAGUUUCGGUAAAAGUUCUUUGGAAUAGGACAUCAUAGAGGGUGAGAAUCCCGUAUUUGACCGUUAUCUUUCCUAGCUGUGUGAUACACUUUCAAAGAGUCGGAUUGUUUGGGAAUGCAGUCCAAGAUGGGUGGUAAAUUUCAUCUAAAGCUAAAGUAUUGGCGAGAGACCGAUAGCGAACAAGUACCGUGAGGGAAAGAUGAAAAGAACUUUGAAAAGAGAGUUAAACAGUACGUGAAAUUGUCAAAAGGGAAGCGUUUGACACCAGUGUUGUUUUUCCGAAAAUCAAUUAAAAAUUGAUUCAUGCUAGGUUGUAUUGACCUCAUCAGCUUGCAAUUUAGUUUUGGGUCUCUUUUUGAUGCACUUUUCGGUUAACAAGUCAACAUCAAUUUCCUUUGCUGUAAAAAGGUAAGAGGAAGGUGGCUUCAAUUUCGGUUGAAGUGUUUAUAGCCUUUUAUCUCUGCAGUCGGGGAGAUUGAGGUCUGCAGCGUAGAUCCUUCGGGGCUAGAUACAUUUAUGCUAAGUUAUAGCUUUUCAUAGACAACUUGUUGACUAUGCUUAGUCAUGUAGCUUACUCGUAAGUGCUAUUUUACCUACGCUUAGAUGUUGAAGAUAUGCGCGACACG